GAUGAAGAACGCAGCGAAAUGCGAUAAGUAAUGUGAAUUGCAGAAUUCAGUGAAUCAUCGAAUGUUUGAACGCACAUUGCGCCCGCCAGUAUUCUGGCGGGCAUGCCUGUUCGAGCGUCAUUUCAACCAUCAAGCCCCAGGCUUGUGUUGGGGACCUGCGGCUGCCGCAGGCCCUGAAAACCAGUGGCGGGCUCGCUGUCACACCGGGCGUAGUAGAUUUUAUCUCGCUCAGGGCGUGCUGCGGGUUCCGGCCGUUAAAAAGCCUUUUUUACCCAAGGUUGACCUCGGAUCAGGUAGGAAGACCCGCUGAACUUAAGCAUAUCAAUAAGCGGAGGA
rnacentral:misc_RNA from 1 species